CUGAAUGACUGGGUAGUAAGAUGCCAUGGGAUAUUCACUGCAGCGUGUCCUGUACUGCAGAAUCAUGAGCAGAUAGUGAGACGGCCUGGAGCUGUACCAGCCCCACCUCACCCCCAAAGACCUGAUGGAUGGGGAAGAGCAGCCUCCUCUCCAGUACCACUGCCCAGGGAAGAAGCUUUCCUAGCCCCUCCUGGCUGAUGUGUACAGCAGGAGCAAGGAGGCAGCAACUCCUUCUUUGA
rnacentral:lncRNA from 1 species